AUUGAACGCUGGCGGCAGGCUUAACACAUGCAAGUCGAGCGGGCGAGGUUGCUUCGGUAACUGAGCUAGCGGCGGACGGGUGAGUAAUGCUUAGGAAUCUGCCUAUUAGUGGGGGACAACAUUCCGAAAGGAAUGCUAAUACCGCAUAUGCCCUACGGGGGAAAGCAGGGGAUCUUCGGACCUUGCGCUAAUAGAUGAGCCUAAGUCAGAUUAGCUAGUUGGUGGGGUAAAGGCCUACCAAGGCGACGAUCUGGAGCGGGUCUGAGAGGAUGAUCCGCCACACUGGGACUGAGGCACGGCCCAGACUCCUACGGGAGGCAGCAGUGGGGAAUAUUGGACAAUGGGCGGAAGCCUGAUCCAGCCAUGCCGCGUGUGUGAAGAAGGCCUUUUGGUUGUAAAGCACUUUAAGCGAGGAGGAGGCUACUUGGAUUAAUACUCUAGGAUAGUGGACGUUACUCGCAGAAUAAGCACCGGCUAACUCUGUGCCAGCCGCCGCGGUAA
rnacentral:rRNA from 1 species